CAUGGAUUUCUUAGAAAAUGAAUGAAAAUAAGAAAGGUUAAUAUUUAUUGCAUGCUUACCAUUUUCCAAAUGUAGCUGUCAGUGUUGGCUAGACAGUCAGGAUGUGCAGGGGAAUCUAUUACAUAGAUGAAGGGAGGCAUCAGGCUUAUGUAUGUAGUAGAAAUAAAAGGACUUAAGAAAUCCAGGAGAAGGUAGCCAUUCAGUAAGGCCUUGAAGAAAAACAGAAAAAAAAAAAAAGAGGAGGCAAUUGCAGAAUCUUUAUAUUCUUGUUAUUUCAAAGAAAGAUGUGCCUCAAACGCAGUAGAAAUUUAACCAAGAUCAGUUAGGGUUUGAGGAGAGAUCCAGAGUGGAAAUUUGUGACUCUUGGUUGCCUUGACAAAGGAAUUCUGUGCUAGUUAUUCUUUGUUUAAUUUCUACUUUCUUGAAUCCAUUCAUUACUUUCCUGCCCUGCUCUUUGCUAUGGGAGGCUGAUUUCUGUGGCCUGAGUCACCCAGCUCUCUUGCCUUCUGGCUGCUGAUUGGGUUAGACCAGAGGAAGUUAUCCAGAGGGAAUCUACGCAGGUAAUAGAGGACCGGCUAGUUAUUAUAAUCCUAUGAGUUUAGGUUACAGAUUUUUAUCAGCCAGGUGCCUGGUAGAUUUUAUCCAAAGAAGGGGUGAUAUUUAGAAGUGUGAGCAGGGAUAAAGGAACUAAGAUAAGACUCCUGAACUAGUAGAAAUGUGAAGUGGUUCCAGCCCUGAUGGGGUGAGGUAUGGGGUGAGAGCUAGGGCUGUGGGAGGGUGAGGUGGAGGGACGGUAUGGGCUGCUAGAAUGAUGUCACGAAAUGAAUUAUUUUCUGAUGAUCAGAGGUAGUCUCCUAAGAAUUUUUCUGCUACAAGAGAUCUUAGACAUCAGCUAGGACCAUAUGCCUGCCACCUGUGAGGACAUUCCUUCCUCAGUAUUGAAUUUAACAAUCAGGUUUUUCUUUCUUUGAAAUAGCUGUCUUGGGGGGAAACCAGUUCCCUUUUAGUUUAUCUGUUCCCUCUUCUCUUCAGGAAAGCUAAGAAGAUAAUACAGUACAACCAGGUCUGCCAAGCUCCCUUCCCUGCUCUGAGAUUUCAGCUUUCCAGUGAAAAUCGUCAUACCGGAAAUGUGGAUCGCACACUGCAUAAUCUUCCAGGACGCAUACAGCUGUGACAUCCCACGACUGCAGACGUGUGGCUGGCUGGGACUGAGUAUUCCUAGUCCCCAGGUCCCUUCACCAACACUCCUUCCGAAGGAUACAGAGCAUCAGUGCUGAUGCGGAACUUGAGGAAAUCAUCCCUGCAGGCAGUGUAAUUCUAGCAGAAGACUGAAUCAUUCUGUUUGUUAAAAAAAGAAAAAAGUAAAAUCUAAAUUACAUCUAAAGUCAAAUAUGUUCUGAUCUUUACUUCCCUUGUUACCAGAUGUAGGGAGUAAAAAUGUACCUUCUAUGGAUGAGACUGGCAGUGGCUGAGUAGCUCAGCAUGGAUUUGGUGUUAAGGAGAGCGUGGGAAUUACAAGCAGCUCCCCUGUUUCUAGAGCAGUGCCGGGGAGGCCCCGGCGCUGAACCAAAGGGAUGCAUGAAAAAUGGCUUAAAUAUUAAGCAGCUACCUCCUGUCAUUCUGGUCUGAGUGGGUGAAGAAAAUGCAUACAUAAAAAUUAAAUAAAAGAAAAGGGCUAAAAAUAAAAUCAUACAAAGCGCAUGAAGCUGAAACUCUGAAUACAAAUACAAUUACACGUCUUUGGGUGAAAUCCAUAACCAGUUUUUGGCAACCCACCUGACUCGCUCAUUGAAUUGCAAAAUGAGAGAAUAUAAAUCAGAGUUGACAACGAGGUCUUAUUUCCCUCUUUAGAGGUUUUAACUGAAUAAUAAAUCACAUGGUUCCAGCACCAUGGACCUCUUAGGAUUCAGGACCAUUCUGUUUGUUGGUGCCUCCAAACAGUAAUUCCUACUGUGUGACCCAUGUAGAGAGCAAACCUCCCUUCCUCUUGCUGUCGCCUCCCGUUCUAAUUAAGCAGAUCAGCAAGGAGAGAGAAGGUUUGCUUACUCAAGGCAGCGAGGGCAGAACUGGCUAUUCAUUUGAACAGUCUCUGGGUUUCAGUUCUCUCUGUGUGUCCCCAUCAAAUUAUUUUUUAAGAUACAAUUUUCUCAGAUAUUACGUGUAGUACAUGGGUAUCUGCCUGUUAAAAAUUCCAGCACUCUGAUAUGUAGAAAACAAUAAAUUGUCAUUUUAGCUCGCCCUCCCCUCCCGUCACCUCAACCGUCUCAGGACUCACUUCAUUAAUAUAUUUAGCCAUAUAAGCAUACAAUGUCUCUCACUCCAUACUUUUCAUACACAUUUAGAUAAAUUCACAUCUAUGUAUUAUAUACAAACAUGCAUACAUAGUUUAGUUUUUUAAAGUAAACAGUAUGUUAUUAUACACAUUAUAG